CGGAUGAAGGGAGCUUGCUCUCGGAUUCAGCGGCGGACGGGUGAGUAAUGCCUAGGAAUCUGCCUGGUAGUGGGGGACAACGUUCCGAAAGGAGCGCUAAUACCGCAUACGUCCUACGGGAGAAAGUGGGGGAUCUUCGGACCUCACGCUAUCAGAUGAGCCUAGGUCGGAUUAGCUAGUAGGUGGGGUAAAGGCUCACCAAGGCGACGAUCCGUAACUGGUCUGAGAGGAUGAUCAGUCACACUGGAACUGAGACAAGGUCCAGACUCCUACGGGAGGCAGCAGUGGGGAAUAUUGGACAAUGGGCGAAAGCCUGAUCCAGCCAUGCCGCGUGUGUGAAGAAGGUCUUCGGAUUGUAAAGCACUUUAAGUUGGGAGGAAGGGCAGUAAGUUAAUACCUUGCUGUUUUGACGUUACCAACAGAAUAAGCACCGGCUAACUUCGUGCCAGCAGCCGCGGUAAUACGAAGGGUGCAAGCGUUAAUCGGAAUUACUGGGCGUAAAGCGCGCGUAGGUGGUUUG
rnacentral:rRNA from 1 species